rnacentral:rRNA from 1 species
AUUGAAUGCUGGCGGCAGGCCUAACACAUGCAAGUCGAACGAGUGGCGGACGGGUGAGUAAUGUCUGGGAAACUGCCUGAUGGAGGGGGAUAACUACUGGAAAAGGUAGCUAAUACCGCAUACCAUCGGAUGUGCCCAGAUGGGAUUAGCUAGUCGGUGGGGUAACGGCUCACCAAGGCUACGAUCCCUAGCUGGUCUGAGAGGAGGACCAGCCACACUGGAACUGAGACACGGUCCAUAUUCCGACGGGAGUCAGCAGUGGGGAAUAUUGCACAAUGGGCGCAAGCCUGAUGCAGCCAUGCCGCGUGUAUGAAGAAGGCCUUCGGGUUGUAAAGUACUUUCAGCGGUGAGGCGUUACCCGCAGAAGAAGCACCGGCUAACUCCGUGCCAGCAGCCGCGGUAAUUC